rnacentral:lncRNA from 1 species
CCUGAACCAAUGGGUGGGCUCUGUGAGUGUGUGAGUGCGGCGGCGCGGCGGUACGAACGGGGGAGGGACACAUUCCUCAGCUCGGCUCGGUCUGCGCGCUGCUACCGGGAGGGGUUACUUGCGUGUUUUAAGGAUGAGAGUCUGGAAAGAUUCCCAGUUUGCUUCAUUUGAACACCGCUGUAAUUACAGUUUCACUGCUGGCCUUCAGCAGAAUUGAGCAUCUCAUCUCUUGGAAAGGAACACACACAGGAAAACAAACAAAAGUGCUUACCAGCUGGUGCUGGGUGAAUUGCACUGUUUGAAGUUCAAGGAUAUUGAGAAUAGUAUUUGGUAUUUAUGUGGCUGCUCGGCAUGUGACCUUUUAUAAUGCUACUCAUACUUGUAUUCAUAUAUAUAUUUAUAUAUAAACAUAUAUUUAUAUAAAGAUAUAUAAAUGAUAAAUAUAUAUAUUUAUAUAUGCUUGUGUAGCUUCUCUCUUGAUGAAGAAGCUUGGUUUCUCAAAUCUUUCUUGAUCCCUCCAGAUAAAUUUCUUGUUCCCCUUUAGCAAAUGGGAGAUGUAUGAUGACUCUGAGAUGUAUGGUUUGCUUUUCUGCUGCCAGCUCUUGGUUCCCACUACUAGAUAUUCCUACCUCCUAUCUGUUCCUUCUAUUCUCCCCUCCAUCGCCCAGCAAAUGGCUUCAGACAUUGUACGCUGAGGGUACAGAGAAAGCUUUGGUCUCACCCUGUUGUUCUAACUUGGUUAUGUCACAACUUCCUCCAUGAACCACUAGGUCAGUUUGCAACAUGGAAAUGGUGGCUAUGCUGAAAGAAAGCUUUAAAAGUUAGUGUGGGUGAAUACUUCUUCCCCAUAGCUGUGAAGAUGUGGAUCCCUGAUGUCUACUGAACUGGACAGGCAACAGAGUCCCCUUCAGUUUUCUCCAGGAUUUAUCCUCCAAGAGCGUGGCUUUUACUGAGUUGCAUUGCAGGGAGUUAAUUAACUUUGCAAAGCAAACAGCGCCACUAUAAGCUUGUAGGUCUGUGCUGAAAUUUCUGUAGUCUGUCCUUUAUAUGUUCAUGGAGGGCAUUGUGAACUUGCUGAAGAAGCAGCACAGUUUUUGUGAGGGUAUUACUUGCCCUCUUAUCAAAUCUGGAAUAGGCUUAGGUACCUACAGCAGCUCAGAGGAGUUAGGCAACAAGUGUUUUCCUACAGUGAGAAAAGUCUUGCAUUUGAGGGCAAAUAUCUUCCAAUUUGGCUUUGUUCUUUUUCAGAUAUUAAUCAUUUCCAUCAGCUUAAGAUUCAUCAAGGAAGUGAAUGACGAGAUGCCUAAAUAAUGCACAACCUUGGAAGGUCUUGCCACGUGAUUUAUAGAAAUGCUGUAAUAGUGCACGUAUUAUGCUAAGCGUUAGGAAGCUCUGUCAAGCACCCACACUUAACAGGCUGUGUUUCUAUUCCUGUUUUCUUCUGCUCCGUGUAUUUUUCUUUGCUCCGGACAUCCUGGAUGGCAAAUGUACAGGCAUAAAAAAUAAUAAUAAUAAUAAUCUUAUGGUAAUUCUGUCCUAUAAUAUUUGACUUGUAUCCAUGUGCAAAGAACAGCAUCAUUUCAUUUCCAACUUAUUGAUGCUCGCGUAUCUGUUAUCAGAAGUGCUGGAGUUGGAUGUAUGAAGUACCUGGCUGUCAUUUCUGGCUGUUACCUAGGAACAUCACUCAAUUUCCAGUGCUCUCUCUCCCCUUUUGCCCACCGAGUCCCGAGAUGUGGUGAUGGGCAGCCUGCCUGGAACAGCUCAGAACAGGGAUGUGGAGACCACAGCAGCAAGCCACUCCCAGCUCUGUAUACCAGCUAGUUUGGGUAUGUCUCUGCUGAGCAAGGGAGGAAGUUGCGUGAGCUUAACAGGGUUCUGGUAGUGUUGUUUUUUGUCAACAGUGGAUUAAUGAGACAUUGCAACUGCAGCCCUGCUGAUGGAUCUGAGAGCAGUGAUGUCUGGCAUGUAGCGGUGGUGAGCUGAUGGAGUUGGUUACCCCUUUGGCACGUACAGCUGUCCUUGGUGUAGGAAGCAUGACAGCCUUUAAUACUACCAUAAAGACCUUUUUGGGAUCUAUGUACCUCUAGGUGUUGUUGACAGCUGGCCUUUACAAACUGGUCACCAUCAUCAAACCUUGUUAAGGUUAGUUUUAGAAGUGCUCAGUUGCCUUGUAGUCAUUCCUAGGUUUUAGAUAUGAAGAAGUGCUUGAAAUGAAAAGACUAAAGAGUGCAUAGGUUGGUGUUAUUCAAAAGUCUGCUUGCUGAUGGGGAAUCACUUGGAGAGCCUCGCUCAGUAGUACUCUAAGCAGUCUUGCGCUUAUGUCUACACUGAAAUACUUGUCCUCAUCCAGCACCCUUAACACUGUGUAGUGCAUUCAACACCUACAAGUGUCUGCAAGACUAAUAUCCCUCAGUCAACAAUUCUAGCGAGUCUGUUCAGUCAUUUCUAGAAGAUUGUUUAAUAAAUAUGGAUAGAGUCUGCUGUGCUUCUAGUUUCAGCGUCUGGAUUUAGAUACCUUCAUCAUAGUACCACAACACCUUAUUAGGUGGUGAUAAAUACUGUAAUCGAGGGGAUAUUCAUUCAUGUCAGUUUUGAAGGAUGAACAGCUUGCUUUCUAGCUAUUAAAUACAAACAAACACAGUUGAAGUCUCUCGUGUUAAAACUUUGGCUGUGUGCGAACUUUCCUUCCUUCAGCUAUCCCAGCUCACAGCUUAUGAGCAAAUGCCAAUUCCCACAGAGGUGGUGCAAGGAAGGGAUAUGCUGUACUGAACAUGCACUUCUCUGAAAGUAACCGUAAUGGAAAAUACUUCACAUGGUACAAUCUAGUACGGAAUACAGCAUUUAAAUUCAUUUCCCCAUUCCUGAGUUCCAGAACUUGUCUAGAGCACAGUGUAUUACUCUUCUGGUUUACUUUUCCAUGUCCUUCCCACAAGGAUCAAUUGUACAGAGGAGAUAAGGUACACCAAGAAUCUGCUUUUAAUGCUUGACUUUUUCUACUCUGUAGAUGUGGGGAGAGGAAGAGGCUUUUCAGGAGAAAUGUUACAAAAUACUGAAAAGCUAUUUCUUCAAUUUGCCAACCCUGUAUUUCUCACUUGCACUGUUCGUAGUCCCUAUAGCUUGUGCUUUGUGUUGGCGGACUUCAUUAGACAUAAGAACACAAGGGAAUGAAUAUAUAUUUAAAAAAAAAAAAAGAAUGGCUGAAAAGAACAAAUAUCUCUUGGCUCCUGUAGGUGUGUUCAAACCAUCUGCUGCUCACGUUUAUCAGUGCUGAAGGUUGCAGUCAAAGUCAAUUUGGUGAAUAAAGUUCAGGCUAGAGAUUGCUGUGGGGUAAAACGAUCUUCAUUUGUUACUGACCAGUGCCUUUGGUAUUCUGUAGCUGCCACAAUACAAUUAAUGAGGUGUCAGUGGUAAGAUUUAACCUGUAAGCUACCUUUAGGUUUCAUGUGUAAAGCUGAUAAUACGGUAUCAGCAGUAUGAACAAGGCAGCUCAGCUGGUGUCUAAGCAAAAGUGGGUUGAAUAUGAGAGAUGCAAACUUCUGUCUGCAAGCUCCUGCUGCACUCAGAGCUCAGCAGGAGCUGAGACCACCUUCAUCCUUUCAUGGCAAGAUUUCUGUGUUGUUUGAAACACCUACUGAAUAGCAAAAAGUGGAAAGGAAGCAGUGGGUCACUGAUCCUGACUGAUUUCAAGGACCAAAUACUUCAUUGUAACUCCGGAAAGAACACUGACCUGCAAGCUGAAAACUUUAUGGACUCCAUUUUCCUAGAACAAGAAGUACCAGCAGAACAGCCAAACCAAAAUAAAUAACUUAUUUUUUCCUUCCUUCCCAAGUACCUUGUUACUGGAAGAAUCAAUAUUCUAUUCUAUUCCUGACUCUUAUUGGAUUUUUAUAAAUACAUAUUCCUAUAUAACUUUAAGCCAACAAUAGAACGAAGCCAUAGCUCAUCAGUUGCAUUUAUAACUGCUUCUGAGAUGUAUGAAAAUGAACUGAAGUUAGUAAAUUGCUUGGAGAUUCUUGGGUGCAGUUCCUUAUUUUGCUCCCCAUGUUUCUGUUGUAGCAGUUGUCAGCUGCUCUCAGAAGCACGUAGAUCCGGUGUACAGCUCUGCACUACUUUGGGGAUGAAUCAAAAGAUGACUUUUCAAAUGUUCUUGAAGUCCAUUGUUUGCACAAGAAACAGUCCUCUGCACCGCUGCUCAAUGAGCUGUCAGGAAAAUUACUACACAGAUAAUAAAUUAUAAAGAUCUGUCACAAAAUGCAGCAUGCUUGAAUAAUUUUCAAAACUAUUAAUAAAUCCCGAGUAGUUGAAACAACUGUCUCUGUUCUUUCUCACCAGAGACAGCUGAUUGAAAUGUAGUCAGCACUGAACGGCUUGACAUGGUUGAGCUCCACUCAGAUACGGGCACAUGACUGAAAAAGAGGGAAGAGGAAACUUGAGGUUCUAGUGGUUUCAUUUCUUGGAAGUUUAAACUCGGGUUUCAGCACACGGCAUUUCCACUGUUUGGGCAGAAAAAUGGCCAGGGACAAUUCUUGACCUAUGAGCUGAAUCACAAUGAGCGGAAGGUAUGUGUUUUUCAGGAUGAGUUAUUGAAGUUAAAAGUGAGUAUUCAAGUCAUAUCUGAUUACCAUUGUUCAUAUUCUAAUCCCGAACUACCAACAAGUCUCAGUGUCCUUAAGUUUUGAGUAUGUUUGUGUAGUUACACAGUGACUUACACCUUGCAGCCUGCUUGGUUUGCAUUCUGGGUAUGGCUUAAUGUUCAUGGUCACGGAGAGCAAGCACGCCCUUGGUCCUGCUCCAAAUUCUGCCCAUAAACCAGGUGCUCAGCUGUGGUUUAGAGACCUGUAAUUCUGUGCUGGGGUCACCAGGACUUCUUGGUUGCAAUUGUUCAACUCUGUAAUAAGAGAAAUAAAACCAACAAAUGUCGCUAUGUGUUUUUGAAACGCCUUCAUCGGUUGUGUACCCGAAGGUUUUUGCCCUAGGCUAACAAAUGUCAAAGCAAUCUGUUGGGUAAACUUCUGCAAACAAGUCGGUGUUGAAUAACAGGGUUCAGACAAUUGCUUAGACGUAGGCUAAAGAGAUCUGCAGAGCUUCUUGGUGGUGACCAGUGGUCAUGGCAAUGAACGCCUUGUACUUGUAGAUGGGACAGGAGACAUUUAGAGGAGUAACAACCAAUCAAAGCUUUGAACUCCAAAACCUUGUAUUACUACACGCAAUACCUGUAAGGUCAGGGGAAAGGGUGUUUUAAUGCGAAUGGAAGGACUACUUUUUCAUGUGAUUGGGUCUCCUUGGGUCUGAUGCUCCUUCCGAUUUCCUUCCUUGUGGCCCUGGAAGACGUGCUGUAGGAAGCAGUCUACGCAGAGAGGUGGUCUGGAUGUUAAUGCCUUACUUGUUGCACCUCUGAAAGAUUGCUGAAUCUGUGGCUUUGUGUUGCUCUACUCUGGACAAGGUUUGUUAGCAACCAAUUAAGUUAUAUUUUUCCAGUAGUUGUACUGCAAGGAAAGAAA